GUUACAAAUAGUUGAAUGGGGGUCGUUGGAAGGCUGGUUAAACUGUUUGGUUUUCGACCACUAGGACCCGGGUUCGAUUCCUGCAUUGGACA